CCUACGGGUGGCAGCAGUGGGGAAUAUUGGACAAUGGGCGAAAGCCUGAUCCAGCCAUGCCGCGUGUGUGAAGGAGGCCUUCGGGUUGUAAAGCACUUUCAGUGGGGAAGAAAGCCUUGGGGCUAAUACCCUCGAGGAAGGACAUCACCCACAGAAGAAGCACCGGCUAACUCCGUGCCAGCAGCCGCGGUAAUACGGAGGGUGCGAGCGUUAAUCGGAAUUACUGGGCGUAAAGCGCGCGUAGGCGGUCUGAUAAGCCGGUUGUGAAAGCCCCGGGCUCAACCUGGGAACGGCAUCCGGAACUGUCAGGCUAGAGUGCAGGAGAGGAAGGUAGAAUUCCCGGUGUAGCGGUGAAAUGCGUAGAGAUCGGGAGGAAUACCAGUGGCGAAGGCGGCCUUCUGGACUGACACUGACGCUGAGGUGCGAAAGCGUGGGUAGCAAACAGGAUUAGAUACCCUUGUAGUC
rnacentral:rRNA from 1 species